rnacentral:rRNA from 1 species
CCUGGCUCAGGAUGAACGCUGGCGGCGUGCUUAACACAUGCAAGUCGAACGAUGAUCCCAGCUUGCUGGGGGAUUAGUGGCGAACGGGUGAGUAACACGUGAGUAACCUGCCCUUGACUCUGGGAUAAGCCUGGGAAACUGGGUCUAAUACCGGAUACGACCAUCUGGCGCAUGUCAUGGUGGUGGAAAGCUUUUGUGGUUUUGGAUGGACUCGCGGCCUAUCAGCUUGUUGGUGGGGUAAUGGCCUACCAAGGCGACGACGGGUAGCCGGCCUGAGAGGGUGACCGGCCACACUGGGACUGAGACACGGCCCAGACUCCUACGGGAGGCAGCAGUGGGGAAUAUUGCACAAUGGGCGCAAGCCUGAUGCAGCGACGCCGCGUGAGGGAUGACGGCCUUCGGGUUGUAAACCUCUUUCAGUAGGGAAGAAGCGAAA